UGGGGAAUCUUGCGCAAUGGGGGAAACCCUGACGCAGCGACGCCGCGUGCGGGAUGAAGGCCUUCGGGUUGUAAACCGCUUUCAGCAGGGACGAGGCCUUAUGGUGACGGCACCUGCAGAAGAAGCUCCGGCUAAAUACGUCCCAGCAGCCGCGGUGAUACGAACGGGGCGAGCGUUGUCCGGAAGUAUUGGGCGUAAAGGGUACGUAGGCGGUCUUUUAAGUCAGGUGUCAAAGCGUGGAGCUUAACUCCAUUAAGCACUUGAAACUGAAAGACUUGAGUGAAGGAGAGGAAAGUGGAAUUCCUAGUGUAGCGGGGAGAUGCGUAGAUAUUAGGAGGAAUACCGGUGGCGAAGGCGACUUUCUGGACUUUUACUGACGCUCAGGUACGAAAGCGUGGGGAGCAAACAGG
rnacentral:rRNA from 1 species